CUGACCUCUCUCAUCUCCUUCUCUCUCUCUUUGAAGCCUAAAAACCACACAUGUUUGGCACUGAGAUUCAUUGGAAUCAAAGCUGAAAUAGAGGAUCUUGCAACAGCUGUCUCUUCGGUAAGAGGAGGAGACGAUGAGCAGAGGAAAUCCACCAGAGCCACUUGAUUUCUUCAUCUGGACUGUUGAGAAUCAGUCUUGUUUAAUUCCAGACCCUAACUUUGAUCUGAAUGUUGGAUCAUGGCUUGAGGAGAUAAACCUUGGCAGCUACCGCCAGAUUUUCAAAGAAAACUAGUGUCAACGGAGAAUAUCUAGAAAGCAUGUCUGUGUUCACAACCGAACAGAUCCUUCACUUCAUUAGGAGGCAUCACAUGAAAUGGGGUGACUUCAUCACCCUCUGUAAAGAACUCCGAAGGAUCAAAGUGGCUUGCUUGAAAGGUGAGCAGAGAGUUCGACGGCCAUGGUGGGCACCGUCUUGCCUCUCAGUAGUGUUUUUGUUAAGGCGGCGGCUAAGCGCAACCGACAGUCUCGAGUUGUAUCUCUGAAACUUGAAUCUUGACAUUACACUUUGCAUGUUUAUGUACGUUCUUGUCUCUCUUCUCUUCAUUUUUUUUUUGGUUUGUGGAGAUAAAAGCCACGUAUGCACUAGGAAGGAAAGCCAAAAUGCUGUUUGGCUUUGGUAAAAUAUUGCAAGGGAGAAAGAAAAUUAUCGUUUGGUAGAACCCUCAAAAAUUCAUAGUUUAGCAACAAUAAGCAAUGGGCUGUGAGUUCUAAGAAUGUAUCUAGAUUCGGGAAAGAGAUGUUUUUUACUUAUGCAUGUAUGCUCGGUUGCU